ACGGAAGCUCACGAACUAGAAAAGUAAAUCAGAGAUGAUGCAAUAUGCAGAGUUUGUAGAAUAGCAUCAGUGAAGCUGUAGAAGAGGAGCAGAAGAGAAACCCUAAUCUCAAGGCAACCAAUUGUCCCCACAGAACCAGGUGGGUUUGGUGGGCGUUGUAGGGAGAAGGUGGAUGACAACAAUAAGAAAUAUAAACGCACUAGUGAAGGUGUGAUAGUUGGGUGCAGGGUGGCUUAGAGUCUGAUGUUACAUACCUACGCCAUUUGGAAGCCCUGUGUAUGCUAUCAAUCAAGAGGUCAAUGGCAUUUUACAACUGGUUUACAAGCAGCACUAUGAGCUUCUCUCUGUAAUUUUAUCCUGUUUUCAACAUAGUGACCCAUGAGAUUUGCCAUUCUGCUUUCUUUAUGGACUCACUUGGAGGGGUUUGAGCAAUAUUAAUGUGUGUGAAAUUAUUAAUCUGUUGGUGUGAAUAAUAUAUCUAGAACAUAAUCUGAUGGUGUAUGAUCUCCUGUUGAAGUAAAAAAAGUCAUUGUUGCUUAUCAAAUCGAAGGAGACUGAUGACAAUUCCAAGUUUUGCUUUGGCAAUUGGGGUUGCUAUUGUAGCAACCAAGAGGCAAACAAAAAGGAGAGAUUUUAAGGCCAUGGCUGUUGUGAUAAGGUAACGAGGAGAUGAUUGCAACAAUAAUUCAAUGUGUUAUUUGCUAAGUUGCAAUUUGCUACUUGCAGUGAGUGCUCUGCAUUUACCCAAUUUAUGGGCAAGGAGAGACCAUGUUACUGCAGUUUAUAUUAUUGUGGGAAGCUGCUGCUUUUUUUCCCUGUGGGAAGCUUUUUUUUUCUACACCAGAGAGAUUUGUCAUGCAUUUUUCUGUACAUCAUUGUUUCAUUUUAAUAAAUUUAUAUUUUGUAAAUAA